CAGUGCUUUUUAGCAUCCUGGCCACAUUAUCAUUAUCACAUUAUCCUGGCCACACACAUGGCCUUUUUGAUCAAAGGGAGUGGUCACAGGGAAAGCUGCUGUGGCUGAACACAAUAGCCAGAUUCAAAGGACAAUCAUGGGAUGCAUUUGGGACUGAGGAGGACAUGGUUGUUUCUCGACUGGACUACCUUCAAAAAACAGAAAUAACCCAAACGUGCCAGAAUGUGGCUUGCCCUGUCGCCAAAAGGACAUGCAACUCAGUUGAUAUAAUAUGUGCAGAUUUUGGGAACAUACAGGCUGAUGUCGACAAGUGGGCGAAUGAGUCCCUAAAAGUUCUUCCUUGCAAGAGAGGUUUGAAACAAUGCACUUUUAAGGAGACAACAGUGCAGCGUGUCUUCGUGCAUGGAGAGCCUUGUAUUUUAUUACUUUCAGUAAUAAACCAGGGGAAGCUAACCAACAAGCAUCAUCCUACAGCCUUGCCACAUCUGGUUACAAUUCUUGGUGGAAUGUAUGAGCCAGCUGCUGUGACAUAUCACCUGGGGCCUGCAAAUCACUUUGUGGCAUUCCACAAAUUGGGUUUAGAUAGAAGCUGGCAUUUCUAUGAU